rnacentral:rRNA from 1 species
CCUACGGGAGGCAGCAGUGGGGAAUAUUGCGCAAUGGGCGAAAGCCUGACGCAGCGACGCCGCGUGAGGGAUGAAGGUCUUCGGAUCGUAAACCUCUGUCAGCAGGGAAGAACGGUCACUGUGCUAAUCAGCAGUGAAUUGACGGUACCUGCAAAGGAAGCACCGGCUAACUCCGUGCCAGCAGCCGCGGUAAUACGGAGGGUGCGAGCGUUAAUCGGAAUUACUGGGCGUAAAGCGCUCGUAGGCGGUAUGUCAAGUCAAGGGUGAAAUCCCCGCGCUCAACGUGGGAACUGCCGUUGAAACUGGCAAACUGGGGUGUGUGAGAGAAUAGUGGAAUUCCGGGUGUAGGAGUGAAAUCCGUAGAUAUCUGGAGGAACAUCAGUGGCGAAGGCGACUAUCUGGCACAUAACUGACGCUGAGGAGCGAAAGCGUGGGUAGCAAACAGGAUUAGAUACCCGUGUAGU